GUGCUCAUCUUUGGCAGCACAUAUACUAAAAAUGGAAUGAUACAGAGAUUAUCAUGGCCCCUGUGCAAGGAUGACACGUUCCAUAUUACAAAAAAAAAGUUUAAU
ensembl:snRNA U6 U6 spliceosomal RNA